UCCUUUGUUGCCAGCGGUUAGGCCGGGAACUCAAAGGAGACUGCCAGUGAUAAACUGGAGGAAGGUGGGGAUGACGUCAAGUCAUCAUGGCCCUUACGACCAGGGCUACACACGUGCUACAAUGGCGCAUACAAAGAGAAGCGACCUCGCGAGAGCAAGCGGACCUCAUAAAGUGCGUCGUAGUCCGGAUUGGAGUCUGCAACUCGACUCCAUGAAGUCGGAAUCGCUAGUAAUCGUGGAUCAGAAUGCCACGGUGAAUACGUUCCCGGGCCUUGUACACACCGCCCGUCACACCAUGGGAGUGGGUUGCAAAAGAAGUAGGUAGCUUAACCUUCGGGAGGGCGCUUACCACUUUGUGAUUCAUGACUGGGGUGAAGUCGUAACAAGGUAACCGUAGGGGAACCUGC
rnacentral:rRNA from 1 species